CUGGCAGUCUGCAUCAUUUCGCCACAGUGUGAAACCAUUGGCUGAUGUAUAAAGUGGAAGCCCCAGGAACCUCUCAAGGCCCAGCUUCAGCCUCACCUUCCCUGUGGUCUUCUUCAAGCAGACCCAUACCAAGCUCUCUGUGCUUUGGAAACUGCCAGUGAGGUGAAGUGGGGAGGCAUCGGAGCGACAGCCACGUUGUAUGCCUGCUGCACGAGCCAGACCGCAGGACAAUACUCAAUGAGAGGCACCAACAUCCAUCCUGGCUGAGCUGAUGAUGGUGAGAGGCCACAGAGCCAUGAAAAUGACUUGGAGCAGCCUCCAUGUAUUCCUCAGGGUUGAAUCAUUGUGUGCACCACAGAGCAUUUGCUUUGUAAAAAAGCUAACACUGUGAAAAAUGGGGUAGGCACUUCCUGUUUUGACCAGGAACAAAUGCAAACCAGACCCUGCUCCUCUCACCAGGCAGAGCUUGCUCUUUCAAUUCAGAGAUAUCUUCAAGGACCCAAUUAUGCUGUGGUGCGGAAUGGAGCAUGUAUGUAACUGAGGUUCCUGCCAAAGACAUCAUCUCCUGGCUGAAUGGCAAGACUGGCCAGGACACCAGGAAACUGAGACUGAUUGGACACACAAGAAUGUGAGCUGAAAUUGUGAUCAACCAGAAUCCAGAACACGCUGUGCUUAAUGGAGUGAACUGCCUGUGAAGCGCAGGUGUGAGGGGCGGAUGAUAAGUGACAGUGCCGGUGCCCCCAGCGCCCUUUUACCUGAUGGCUCACCCGGCCUACAGCUGCGCCCUUCCCUUUGAAUCGUCUUGGGUAACGGGUGCUGCUUUGGAAAUGCCUGGAAGGUCAUGUCCUUUGUCUGGGGAUGGCUUCCAGCUGUGGUUGACUGAUAGCAGGGGGCACAGAAGGCCAGACACAACUUGCCUCAGGUGGGCCGACUCUGAGGGUUUGUUCGGCCUCCACGUGGACUUCAGCUGAGCCUGCAUCUUUGCUUGGCUUUUCCCACUGGCCUAUUCUGCUUCCCUCUCCUUAAGGGUUCUCCCAGGAGAACUCCCUUAAUAAAUCACUUGCACAAGGAUCCCUGUCUUAGCCUUUGCUUCUAGAAAACCUGACCUAAGAUAAAUAGGUCGUGGGAACACGAGAGAAAGAGAU
rnacentral:lncRNA from 10 species